AUUAGUGGCGAACGGGUGAGUAACACGUGAGUAACCUGCCCCUCACUCUGGGAUAAGCGUUGGAAACGACGUCUAAUACCGGAUACGAGCUUCAGCCGCAUGGCUAGGAGCUGGAAAGAAUUUUGGUGAGGGAUGGACUCGCGGCCUAUCAGGUAGUUGGUGAGGUAACGGCUCACCAAGCCGACGACGGGUAGCCGGCCUGAGAGGGUGACCGGCCACACUGGGACUGAGACACGGCCCAGACUCCUACGGGAGGCAGCAGUGGGGAAUAUUGCACAAUGGGCGAAAGCCUGAUGCAGCAACGCCGCGUGAGGGACGACGGCCUUCGGGUUGUAAACCUCUUUUAGUAGGGAAGAAGCGAAAGUGACGGUACCUGCAGAAAAAGCACCGGCUAACUACGUGCCAGCAGCCGCGGUAAUACGUAGGGUGCAAGCGUUGUCCGGAAUUAUUGGGCGUAAAGAGCUCGUAGGCGG
rnacentral:rRNA from 1 species